GCCAGGGUUUGACACCGUACACGUCAAAACUUGCAGUGGUGGCUAUGAGGUGCGGCACCGAGGAAUGUCCCCUACUACCAUCGGUCCUUUUCCAAAAGAUGGUCUCUGUGAAAAUUGUAAAAGGGGACUCGUCCACUUCAGGCUACAUGGUCUAGUUUCUGUGUACGGAGAAGCAAUGUUUAGAUGCCAGCCUUAGCUUGGAAUCACCCAUGGUAGAGCUUCCUGGAAACAUCAUCGUGUAGAUGCUUUGUACCUUGUACUACCACGGAGGUUAUGAUCAGGAUUCAGGGGGCCCUCUCAAAAAAGCAAAAAAUACAGAAACAAAAAAAUAUACUCCCUUUAUUCUAAAUUAUAAGUCAUUCUAAGAAUCUUGGAGGAUCAAACUAUCUCAAAUUUAUAUGAUAAAAUAAUAAUAUUUAUAAUAUUAACUAAGUAUACUGUUACAUUCUUCGUUAAUUAUAUUUUCAUAUUGUGUCAUAGGAACCACACAGGAUUUUUACCAAGAGAUUUGAGUGGAUACUAAAUUUCCUGUAGUUCUUCUCCAAAACAGCAUUCAAAGUAAAUUCUCCUGCACUAUAUUUCUAUGUCCCAUUCCAGUGAACCAAAGGCAUGAACAAUCGCAAUUCCUAUUAGUAUUCUCAAUCUUAUGUUUUAUCUCUAUUUUCCCUAUAGACCAAAGGAGGCCGAGACCUGAUUUUUUUGAGUAGUCAUUUUUCCUUUUUCAUUUUCUUCUCUUCUCUCAGUGGAUCUAGAGUAGCGGUAAGUGCUGCGGACCAUUUGACCAGUUUUUGUUUCUUUUUGUUUUUUCCUCUACUAAUAAAAAAAUGCGGCAAAUUUUUUGCCAUAUGUUCAACAAAAAUAUGAUAUCUAAAAGUUUUUUGUUUUGUUUUGAAGCCUCUUUUCUAGAUCUAACUUUAUUAUGUGUUCAUGCACAUAUGCAUGUGCAUACCUCACUCACGCAUAUACACACAAAUAAAUUUAUAGCUAUACUUAGAUCAGCCACAUGCAUCUUUAGAGAGAUGACCAGGACUAUCAAUGUCUCUGCGGGUAACGUGUAUCCUAGGAAUUCUAAGACUUACCAUAUGAUAAACCAAAUGAUGCAUGCAACCCUUCUUGGCUACCAUAUUUGGGGUUAGUAGUACAAAUUAUUGGUAGGUAUAUACAUGUGAAUGUUGUCUUUUUAAAUUGAACUAGUAAAUAUGCCCGUGCGUUGCAACGGGAUAUAUAAGUUUUAGUAUUGGAGAGAACAAAUGACCAUAAAAUUUUUUCAUUAUUUAAUAAAUAGUAUAGUAGGCUACCAUAGUUAAAAUUUAUGGCACUAAAUCCACAAUACUAAUAUAAGUUGUUUGGGCGCCCUUCCUAAAAAUUAUGAUGUUUCUAGUUUCAAAUUUUAUUACCUUGAAUGAAGGUAAUCAGUUUUCUAAUUUUUUUUAGUAGCAUCUCUAUUUGCUUUCAUACCAAAAUUGUGAUCUUGUGGGUCUCCACAUCAAUUUUUUUCUUUGGGAAAAACUGCCAGCUCAAGCGAUUCUCGCUGCACGUGGCACAUGCGACCUGAUGCUGCUUGGUCUGGCAUGGGAUAGCUCGCUUGAGCUCGCUGUGCGCAAGCUGCGUGAAGCGGUUUGAAGCUCAGGUGGAUUCGAUUUUUGGAACGUGGUGCUUCUUCAAUUCAGGGCUCCAAGCCUCGUCUCCGGUUAAAUAGCAGAAGUAUGCUCGGUGUCUCUGUCUCGUCUCGCCACUAUCCUGUUCCGCACCUAAAGUGAUGGCACCCUCGUCCUCUGUCCGUCCGUGUGCUGAGAAUCUCGGAACCCGUGGUCAUGUGAUGUGGGGACGAAGAACCCAGCCAAUAGCUUGGUCAACUUGGGCAACCACGCACAGCGUAAAAUCGUCCGUGUCAGCCCGGCUCAGCCCAACUACAGCCCACUAUCCCACCAGUAUAUAAUGCUUCAUCCAAAAUAACCCUAGGUCUAAUAUUUACUCACCAGCCGCCGCCACACCUGUGCACGCACCUGCUCCUCUUCUCCUCCACCCAUGGGCGUCCUCUCCAUCCCUGCUCUAGUGAGGUUGUGUGGAGAUUGCCCCAAAACUUUGCUGGCUUGGAUCUCUAUGUCUCUCCACCCUUGCCUUGCUCUCUGACUUGUAGCUCCACUCAUGGACGAUUGGGGCUUAUCGAGCUAUUGGGCAACACGCCCAUCACCGUGCUCUUGUGCCACGCCGGCGGAUCCCCACGUCGACAGCCAGCGGCGUCCUCGAAUUCUCCCUAGCGCCACCUAGAAGAUCUCCCACGCCAUCAUCCUCAUCAAGGGCGUCGACAGCUUGCUACUAUUUGUUUCGAUUUUUUGCGCUGUUAGAUUUUAUUUCUACUUGAUUCGAGGGCUGAUUCCAGGAGUGCUAAGCAGAGAGGAUUUGUUAUUAUAUAGAAAACAUAGGUAGAUCCAAACGAAAAUCUUGGGCUUCUUUUUCGAUUUGUAAUUCUUUUUGUUAUUUGACUUGUUGGAUUCUCCUUCCUUU
rnacentral:lncRNA from 1 species